rnacentral:rRNA from 1 species
AGAGUUUGAUCCUGGCUCAGGAUGAACGCUGGCGGUAUGCUUAACACAUGCAAGUCGAACGGAUGUUUUCGGACAUUAGUGGCGGACGGGUGAGUAACGCGUGAGAAUCUAGCUUCAGGUUGGGGACAACAGUUGGAAACGACUGCUAAUACCGAAUGUGCCGAAAGGUGAAAGAUUUAUUGCCUGAAGAAGAGCUCGCGUCUGAUUAGCUAGUUGGUGGGGUAAAAGCCUACCAAGGCGACGAUCGGUAGCUGGUCUGAGAGGACGAUCAGCCACACUGGGACUGAGACACGGCCCAGACUCCUACGGGAGGCAGCAGUGGGGAAUUUUCCGCAAUGGGCGAAAGCCUGACGGAGCAAUACCGCGUGAGGGAAGAAGGCUCUUGGGUUGUAAACCUCUUUUCUGAGGGAAGAAAAAAAUGACGGUACCUCAGGAAUCAGCAUCGGCUAACUCCGUGCCAGCAGCCGCGGUAAUACGGAGGAUGCAAGCGUUAUCCGGAAUGAUUGGGCGUAAAGCGUCCGCAGGUGGCAAUUCAAGUUUGCGGUUAAAGGUUCUGGCUCAACCAGAGACAGGCCGUGAAAACUGAAUAGCUAGAGUAUGGUAGGGGCAGAGGGAAUUCCCAGUGUAGCGGUGAAAUGCGUAGAGAUUGGGAAGAACACCGGUGGCGAAAGCGCUCUGCUAGGCCAAAACUGACACUGAGGGACGAAAGCUAGGGGAGCGAAUGGGAUUAGAUACCCCAGUAGUCCUAGCCGUAAACGAUGGAUACUAGGUGUAGCUUGUAUCGA